rnacentral:tRNA from 1 species
GUUCACGAGUCUCCUGUAGCUCAGUGGUAGAGCGUCCGAUCAGUUUGCGUAAGGUCAUAGGUUCGACUCCUGUUGGUGAACU